rnacentral:rRNA from 1 species
UAGCUGCAUUAUUUGUACGUUAGCGACAGAAGAAGCACCGGCUAACUCCGUGCCAGCAGCCGCGGUAAUACGGAGGGUGCGAGCGUUAAUCGGAAUUACUGGGCGUAAAGCGCAUGCAGGUGGUUUGUUUAAGUUCAGAUGUGAAAGACCCGGGGCGUCAACCUCGGAAUAGCAUUUGAAACUGGCAGACUAGAGUACUGUAGAGGGGGGUAGGAAUUUCAGGUGUAGCGGUGAAAUGCGUAGAGAUCUGAAGGAAUACCAGUGGCGAAGGCGGCCCCCUCGGACAAAGACUGACGCUCAGAUGCGAAAGCGUGGGGAGCAAACAGGAUUAGAUACCCUGGUAG